rnacentral:rRNA from 1 species
CCUACGGGAGGCAGCAGUGGGGAAUAUUGCGCAAUGGGGGAAACCCUGACGCAGCAACGCCGCGUGAAGGAAGAAGGUCUUCGGAUUGUAAACUUCUUUGACGAGGGACGAAACAAAUGACGGUACCUCGAAAACAAGCCACGGCUAACUACGUGCCAGCAGCCGCGGUAAU